AGAACUCUCUGCCCAGAGUGGAAGCUGCCAUCGCCAGUCAGCAUACUGAGCGGGAUGAUUCUGUGGCAAGCAAAAGCAGUGCGCUCGCCAUUUGCCCUUGCAGCUUCUGUGAAAUCCAGCCUGCUUUGACACAAACAGGCCUCUGCAGGCCAGUACUGCUUGCAACUCACCACCAGAGUAUGGAACAUUGUCUCAUCUGUUUACAUGAACCCUACCCACUCUCUCAGAAAUCUUCCAAGUGAGAAGUUGAGAAGAUGGAUCAGUGGAUAAAGGUGAUCAGGAUCCUUUUCAUUUAUGCAUGGAAAAGCAA